rnacentral:misc_RNA from 1 species
AACGUAGGGGUCGAGCGUUAUCCGGAAUUACUGGGCGUAAAGCGCGUGCAGGCGGCUGUGCAAGUCGGACGUGAAAGCUCCUGGCUCAACUAGGAGAGGUCGUUCGAAACUGUGCAGCUAGAGGAUGGUAGAGGCGAGUGGAAUUCCCGGUGUAGUGGUGAAAUGCGUAGAUAUCGGGAGGAACACCAGAGGCGAAAGCGGCUCGCUGGGCCAUCUCUGACGCUCAGACGCGAAAGCUAGGGGAGAGAACGGG